GGGGCUCUUUAAGAGAUGCUUGGUGACAUCAUCGCGUGUGCGUGUGGCACGGUGCACCUGAGAGUGGAAAUCAGGAAGGGAUAUAGGCCUCACUUGUACUGUUUACUAGGUAAAGGAUCCAGUAUCAUCCAUUUUAAAGUAAAUUUAAAAAAGGAUCACAAAUGUCUUAGCUGUGUUGUUUUAUUAGGGUGAUGUAUGUCUGCAGUAAUUUCUGCAGAUGCACAAAUUUCGAGGUGUGACGGUUAGCAUAGCGUGAGCUAACGCAUCAGCACGUGCAAGCCAUACGAGUUCUGUUGGUGUGUUCGGCCUAUCGGAGCAUAAAUAGCACUGAAGGCUAAGUUUGGAAAAAUUGCCACUGCCGUAUUUUUGUUUACUGGAUAAAAUUUUGGGUUUAUUGUUUUAUAUAUUGCACACCAAAAAGACAGAUUCUGUACAUCAGGCAGUACUUUAUUUUAAUUUUAUGAUAUUUAAUUUUUGUGUUUAAAAAUAUUUGUCCUGUAAUUUUGUUUUAUUUAGCUCCUUAUUUAUCUUCUUCCACAUAAAAUUAACAAGCAGGAUAUAUAUUGUUAAUUGGAAUAAAGAACCCCAGUGGAAUUUGUUCGUCUUCUGCGUAUCAUUGCAACGGCCACAUUAAUUAUUUGCAUUA